CUCGUGGGUAGGUGCUGUCUAUGCAUCUCUAGCAAACAGAACCUAGUAAAGCAUCUGGAAUGAAUGAACCCAUCCAUCGAUCAGCAACUACUCGCCCCAUCUUGCAAAUCAAUCCACUUGAUUCUCACAAGAGCACUGUAAGAUGUAAAGGAUUGGUCAUGUACCACGUUUGCAAAUAUAUGGACAUGGAGGGCAAGGAAAUCAAGUGACUUCUCAAGUUCAUGAAGCUAAUUAAACAGCAAGGCAAGGACUUGACCCCAUGUCUUCCUGCUGCAGAUCCAGAGCACUUUUCUCUCUAUUCUAAGUACUUACAAGCAAGGAAAAUGAUACCAAGUCCUCUGUACUCUCCAGUGACUUUCCUUUCUUUCUCCCAGGGUUUUGGAGUCAAACUCAAUAGAGAUAUACACUGUAAAUUACAGUUCAAGAUUUCGGUCUGUGGCUAUUCGAUACAAUGUAGUACAAGGAUUUCACGUGUAAAACAGCAACUUUAA